AUUGAACGCUGGCGGCAGGCCUAACACAUGCAAGUCGAGCGGACGAAGGGAGCUUGCUCCUGGAUUCAGCGGCGGACGGGUGAGUAAUGCCUAGGAAUCUGCCUGGUAGUGGGGGAUAACGUCCGGAAACGGGCGCUAAUACCGCAUACGUCCUGAGGGAGAAAGUGGGGGAUCUUCGGACCUCACGCUAUCAGAUGAGCCUAGGUCGGAUUAGCUAGUUGGUGGGGUAAAGGCCUACCAAGGCGACGAUCCGUAACUGGUCUGAGAGGAUGAUCAGUCACACUGGAACUGAGACACGGUCCAGACUCCUACGGGAGGCAGCAGUGGGGAAUAUUGGACAAUGGGCGAAAGCCUGAUCCAGCAAUGCCGCGUGUGUGAAGAAGGUCUUCGGAUUGUAAAGCACUUUAAGUUGGGAAGAAGGACAGUAAGUUAAUACCUUGCUGUUUUGACGUUACCAACAGAAAAAGCACCGGCUAACUUCGUG
rnacentral:rRNA from 1 species